AACCUAGCACACCUGCGGUGUGUACCUGCGGAAGGAUCACUACACAAUACAAUAUGAAGGCUGUCCGCAGCUGGAGUAUUUUAUUACCCUUGUCUUUUGCGCACUUGUUGUUUCCUGGGCGGGUUCGCUCGCCACCAGGACCACCAAACAAACCUUUUUUAUGCAGUUGCAAUCAGCGUCAGUACAAACAAUGUAAAUCAUUUACAACUUUCAACAACGGAUCUCAGAUCGGAAGAGCAC
rnacentral:misc_RNA from 1 species